rnacentral:rRNA from 1 species
GACAGAGGGUGCGAACGUUGUUCGGAAUUACUGGGCGUAAAGCGCAUGUAGGCGGCAGCGCAAGUCGGGCGUGAAAUCCCACGGCUCAACCGUGGAAGUGCACUCGAAACUGCGCAGCUAGAGUCCUGGAGAGGAAGGUGGAAUGCUUGGUGUAGAGGUGAAAUUCGUAGAUAUCAAGCGGAACACCGGUGGCGAAGGCGGCCUCUGGACAGUGACUGACGGCUGAGAUGCGAAAGCGUGGGGAGCAAACGGGG